rnacentral:rRNA from 1 species
GAGUCAUUGGGACUAUGAUAAACCUAAAGGCGCAAUGAAAGUGAAGGUCCGCCCCGCGCGGACCGAGGGAGGAUGGGCCCGUUCUCGAACGGGGCCCCGCACUCCCGGGGCGUCUCGUUCUCAUCGCGAGAUGAGGCGCACCCAGAGCGUACACGCUGGGACCCGAAAGAUGGUGAACUAUGCCUGGUCAGGACGAAGUCAGGGGAAACCCUGAUGGAGGUCCGUAGCGAUUCUGACGUGCAAAUCGAUCGUCGGAACUGGGUAUAGGGGCGAAAGACUAAUCGAACCUUCUAGUAGCUGGUUCCCUCCGAAGUUUCCCUCAGGAUAGCUGGCGCUCGUAUUGUGAGUCUCAUUCGGUAAAGCGAAUGAUUAGAGGCAUUGGGGUCGAAACGGCCUCAACCUAUUCUCAAACUUUAAAUGGGUGAGAUCUCCGGCUUGCUUAAAGCUUGAAGCCGCGAGAUUAACGGAUCAAUGAGUGCCAAGUGGGCCACUUUUGGUAAGCAGAACUGGCGCUGUGGGAUGAACCAAACGCCGAGUUAAAGCGCCAAAAUCGACGCUAAUGGGAUACCAUGAAAGGCGUUGGUAACUUAAGACAGCAGAACGGUGG